rnacentral:rRNA from 1 species
AGAGUUUGAUCCUGGCUCAGGACGAACGCUGGCGGCGCGCCUAACACAUGCAAGUCGAACGGAGCUUAAAGAGCUUGCUUUUUAAGCUUAGUGGCGAACGGGUGAGUAACGCGUGAGUAACCUGCCCUAGAGUGGGGACAACAGUUGGAAACGACUGCUAAUACCGCAUAAGCCCACGGUACCGCAUGACACUGAGGGAAAAGGAUUUAUUCGCUUUAGGAUGGACUCGCGUCCAAUUAGCUAGUUGGUGAGGUAACGGCCCACCAAGGCGACGAUUGGUAGCCGGACUGAGAGGUUGAACGGCCACAUUGGGACUGAGACACGGCCCAGACUCCUACGGGAAGCAGCA